GAUGAAGAACGCAGCGAAAUGCGAUACUUGGUGUGAAUUGCAGAAUCCCGUGAACCAUCGAGUCUUUGAACGCAAGUUGCGCCUCAAGCCAUUAGGUUGAGGGCACGUCUGCCUGGGCGUCACAUAUCGUUGCCUGAUGCCAGUUUCCUCGUGAUGGGUGACUGUGCAGGGCGAAUGAUGGCUUCCCGUGAGCAUUGUUGCCUCAUGGUUGGUUGAAAAUUGAGUCCUUGGUAGGGAGCGCCGUGAUAGAUGGUGGUUGAGUGACGAACGAGACCCAAUCAUGUGAGACCCCUACCGAAUUUGGCCUUCAUGACCCACAUGCGUCUUUGGAACGCUCAUGACGAGACCUCAGGUCAGGCGGGGCUACCCGCUGAGUUUAAGCAUAUCAUAAGCGGAGGA
rnacentral:misc_RNA from 1 species